rnacentral:rRNA from 1 species
UACGUAGGGGGGCAAGCGUUGUCCGGAAUCAUUGGGCGUAAAGAGCUCGUAGGCGGCUUGUCGCGUCGUUCGUGAAAACCUGCAGCUCAACUGCAGGCUUGCGGUCGAUACGGGCAGGCUAGAGUUCGGUAGGGGAGACUGGAAUUCCUGGUGUAGCGGUGAAAUGCGCAGAUAUCAGGAGGAACACCGGUGGCGAAGGCGGGUCUCUGGGCCAUAACUGACGCUGAGGAGCGAAAGCGUGGGGAGCGAACAGG